CAGGUGUGGGGGCAUGGCCUCAGCUGUGAAGGUGAGCACAGGUGUGGAGGGAUGGCCUCAGCUGUGAAGGUGAGCACAGGUGUGGAGGAAUGGCCUCAGCUGUGAAGGUGAGCACAGGUGUGGGGCAUGGCCUCAGCUGUGAAGGUGACACAGGUGUGGAGGGAUGGCCUCAGCUGUGAAGGUGAGCACAGGUGUGGGGCAGGGGUGGCCUCAGCUGUGAAGGUGAGCACAGGUGUGUGUGUGUGUGUGUGUGUGUGGAUGGCCUCAGCUGUGAAGGUGAGCACAGGUGUGGGGCAGGGGUGGCCUCAGCUGUGAAAGUGAGCACAGGUGUGUGUGUGUGUGUGUGUGUGGUGGCCUCAGCUGGGAAAGUAAGCACAGGUGUGAGGGCAUGGCCUUAGCUGUGAAGGUAAGCACAGGUUGGGGUGGGGUGGGGGGAGGGAUGCCUCAUUAUCCUUUCACUGAACACAGUCUGACCAGUACCCAUAGGUUCAGGGUGCAGCUCUGAUGUGGUCCAUGAAUACUUAUCAAGCGGCCUCUACGUGACCUUGGCAAGGCCCUGCCUUUCUGAACCUCAGCUUCCUCCUCUAUAAAGAGAACAUAGUCCUCUAUAGAUUGAUGAUAGACAAUGAUGAAGAUGAUGGUGGGUGGUGGUAACGGUAAUGAUGGUAGUGGUGGUGAUAGUGGUGAUGGUGGGCAGUGAUGGUGAUGAUGGUGGUGGUGAUAAUGUUGAUGGUCAUGAUGAUGGUGGUGGAGACAGUAAGGCAGAUAGUGCUGACAGUAGCAUUGAUAGAAGUCCUAACAGCAGUUGGGAGAAGCUGUUUUUCUGUUUUAUUAUGUUUUAUUUAUUUCAAUGGGGCUGGGGAUUGAGCUUAGAGUCGCAUGCAUGUUGGACAAACACUUUAUAUCCCAGCACAGAGGGAGAGGGAGGGGGCUAGAGGUGUGAACGCACCUGCAGGCACACAUACUUGUGUGCACACAGGUUCAGGCCAGAGGAAGCUGCCUUCCUCUGUUGCACUUUAGAGGGUUUACCACUAAACUUGACAUCUGCUCAACAUCUGGCUUGGCUGUUGAGCUUUUGAAUUUCCAGGAUCCACCUGUUUCUGACUCCCAACAUUGAGGUUACAGUCAUACAUGGUCAUACUUGGCCUUUAUGUGGCUGCUGAAGAUGCCAGCUCAGUGCCUUUUUAGCCUGUGAAGAUUCUCUAUAGCAGCCGUUCUCAACCUUCCUAAUGCUGGGACCCUUUAAUACAGUUCCUUGUGUCGUGGUGACCCCCAACCAUAAAAUUACUUUAUUGCUACUUCAUAACUGUAAUGUUGCCACUGAUAUGAACUGUAACGUGAAUAUCCGAUAUUUCUCAUGGUCUUAGGUUGACCCCUGUGAAAGGGUCAUUCAACCCCAAAGCAUGACAACCCACAGGUUGCGAACCACUGUUCUAGAGGAAAAGAACAGAUAGGAAGAAUCUCCCGAUAGAUAGAUAGAUAGAUAGAUAGAUAGAUAGAUAAGGAAUUUAUUAGAGUGGCUUACAUGCUGUGGUCCAGCUAGUCCAACAAUGGCUGUCUACCCAUGGAAAGUCCAAGAAUCUAGUACUUGUUCAGGCCACAAGGUUGGAUGUCUCAGCUGGUCGUCAGUAUAUGCCAGAAUCCCGAAGAAGUAGAUUCUCAUGCCAGUGAAGGAAUGGACUUGUUAGUGAGAACAAGCAGGCAAAGAGAGUAAGCUUCCUUCUAUGUCCUUUUUAUAGGUAGGCUGCCAGCAGAAGGUGUGGCCCAGGUUAAAGUUGUAUCUUUCUACUUUAAAUUAUUUAAUUAAAACAAAAACAAGAAAACUCCUCACAGGUGUACCCAACCACUUGGGUUUUAGCCAAUUCCAGAUGUUGUGAAGUAGACAACCAAGAAUAGCCAUCACAAGUCCACCCCUUGUCAAUUUGACACAGAGUCAUAGCUCCUUAUGGUCAUGCUUAAUUUCCAAAUGAAACCAAGAACUAGAGUAUUAUACUAGAACGUACAAUUGCAAAUUCAUUAUAUAUUUAACCAUAUCAUAAUUAUGCCUAACAUGAUAUCACUAUCCUUCAUACAACCACAAACACAUUAUAAAUUUAGAAUUGGUGGCAAAGUCCAUUCAGGGACAUUCUUUUAGUAGCUCAGCUUACAUAUGAUAAGCACUGAUAUUCUCAUAGUUGAUGCUGCACUGCAUGAUAAGGAAAUCAAAGAAAGAAAACACAAGUAUCUGUGCAUAUGCAUUCCUCUUGUUGGUGUUGGUUGCUUUGUUUGAAACAGGGUUUCUCUAUAUAGCCUUGGCUGUUCUUAAACUCACUCUGUAGACCAGGCUGGCCUCAAACUCAAAAGUCUGCCUGUCUCUGCCUCCCAAGUACUGGGAUUAAAGGUGUGUGCCACCACCACCCAGCCUUACAAAUGUAUUCUUAUCAAAAUAUGCCAGAAACACUCAUAUAAAUUAUAAUCCUCAUUUCUGUAGCUAGUCACAUGACCUUAGCUAGUAUUUAUAACUACCUUCCUCUACAACCCUUCUGUAUUUCCUUCACCCUCUGCAAGCACCUCAGCAGGUCUUGGCUCUUUUCCUGGAGGACUGACCCAUACCUUCAUUCCUAGUGGGUCUGUGUCCUUUGCUUGGAUUAGGCUGUUGUAGUUUCCCAUGGACUUUAGUCACAGGACAUGGUAGUACUAAGAGAUGCUCUAAAGGAUCUCUGGCACUCCAGACAUGAUCCUUCUUACCUCCAUUGUGGAGAGGCAACCCAACUUUCCCUUGGUGAUCUGGAUCAAUCACCCUCCUGACCCUGUUAUUUCCUUUCUUAGCCUGUUGGCUUGUGGGCAACAGAAGCUCAAAGGGGCUGGGAAUGGGGGUGGGGGUGGGGCAGUUCAAGCUUCCAGUUCAAUGGAAUGCUAGUUGUGGCUCCUCACUGGAGUGCUCUCCACUCUAGAGCCAAUUUCUAGGCCAGCAGAAGGUGUGGCCUAGAUUAAAGGUGGAUCUUCCCACCUCAGAAGAUCUGGACUAAAAGUGUGUCAUUCCUCAAAGUUCAGGAUUAGAAGUGGGUCUUCCCACUUCAGUUCAAUAUAGAUGUAGUCAAGUUGACCACCAAGCAUAGCCAAAACAUGCCCUGAAAGAGUCCCUGAUUACUCGUAUCCUAGUUUGAAGGGUGCCCCAAAGGAAGUCAGUAUUUCACUGCCACCCUUUGACCUAGUGUCACCGUCAUCCGACUUAGGCCUCAGUCCCACUGCAGUGCCAUCUCUGUGUGACACACA